rnacentral:rRNA from 1 species
UACAGAGGGUGCGAGCGUUGUCCGGAAUUACUGGGCGUAAAGGGCCAGUAGGCGGCCAACUAAGUCCGACGUGAAAUCCCCAGGCUUAACCUGGGAACUGCGUCGGAUACUGGAUGGCUUAAUUCGGGAGAGGGGGUGCAGAAUUCCAGGUGUAGCGGUGAAAUGCGUAGAUAUCUGGAGGAAUACCGGUGGCGAAGGCGGCAUCCUGGACCGACAUU